rnacentral:lncRNA from 1 species
AGAAGCCCGGCUCCUCGCCGGGGAAGGCCGGAUGCUGGCCCGCCGGGACCUGGGACUUGUGCCACAUGGAGUGUCGGGAGUCUCCAUUGCCGCGAGUUCUACACCACAGGGCCAGGCUGUUUGCUCCCCAUCGGUCGCUGCCCCCAGCACCCUGUUGUUAUUAAGGACUCAUUUGCUUGGAGCGGCAUCAUUACAAGGGUGUGGGCACCAGAUACUGCUACACCAUCUCAUCGGCAUGGACCUAUAUGUGGCAGCAAGUCCAUCUCAUCGCUUUUGGUGAAAGUCAGUCCAGUUUGUAAAGAUUCUCAUUGUCACUGUAGACGAGGAACUGGGACACCAAAAGGAGAAACUCUGGCCACGCUUGCACCCUGUUCCCAAUCCUGGUCCAGUGUCACCCACAGAUGGUAAGGAGCUCUAGAGACCUCACCAGCCCCUGGGAUUGGUCACCUCACUCUUCUAUGGACAGAGAUUCCUGCUGGGAUCCUUUGAGGGCAAGCAGACCCUUCUUCCAGCUCGGACUGUGAACUCCACUGCAGCC